rnacentral:rRNA from 1 species
UACAGAGGGUGCGAGCGUUAAUCGGAAUUACUGGGCGUAAAGCGCGCGCAGGCGGUCUUCCAAGUCAGUGGUGAAAGCCCGGAGCUCAACUCCGGAACUGCCAUUGAAACUGUAAGACUUGAGGAUGAGAGAGGUGAGUGGAAUUCCCAGUGUAGAGGUGAAAUUCGUAGAUAUUGGGAAGAACACCGGUGGCGAAGGCGGCUCACUGGCUCAUUUCUGACGCUCAGGCGCGACAGCGUGGGGAUCAAACAGG